UCUCAAUACUGUUGCUUCGGGGAUUCCGUUUCUACAUUAAUUAUGGAGGGGAUACAAACAUUCAAGCCACAGCAGAUUAGAAGAACCUAAAUAAUAUAUGCAAAACCAUGCAUUUGCCAAACAGCACACCUGUGAUUGAAGGAAUCUGCUCAUAAAUCAUGAAGCUGUAAUAUUUUAAGGCAGCUUUUAUGAGCUGUAACACUCACUGCGAAGAUCUGCAGCUUCACUCCUGAGCGCAGCGAGACCAUGAACCCACCGGGAGGAACGAACAACUCCAGACGUCCUACCUUAAGAGCUGUAACACUCACCGCGAAGGUCUGCAGCUUCACUCCUGAGCCAGCAAGACCACGAACCCACCAAAAGGAAGAAACUCCGAACACAUCUGAACAUCAGAAGGGACAGACUCCAGAUGCGCCACCUUAAGAGCUGUAACACUCACCGCGAGGGUCCGCGGCUUCAUUGUUGAAGUCAGUGAGACCAAGAACCCAUCAAUUCCGGACACAACAGCCCAUAUGUAUAUAUUAAAGUAUG